rnacentral:rRNA from 1 species
AUUGAACGCUGGCGGCAGGCCUAACACAUGCAAGUCGAGCGGAGCGGCGGACGGGUGAGUAAUGCCUAGGAAUCUGCCUGUUAGUGGGGUAUACCGUCCGGAAACGGGCGCUAAUACCGCAUACUAUCAGAUGAGCCUAGGUCGGCUUAGCUAGUUGGUGGGGUAAUGGCCUACCAAGGCGAUGAUCCGUAACGGGUCUGAGAGGAUGAUCAGUCACACUGGGACUGAGACACGGUCCAGACUCCUACGGGAGGCAGCAGUGGGGAAUAUUGGACAAUGGGCGAAAGUCUGAUCCAGCCACGCCGCGUGAGUGAAGAAGGUUUUCGGAUUGUAAAGCACUUUGAGUUGGGAUGCGUUACCAAAAGAAAAAGCACCGGCUAACUUCGUGCCAGCAGCCGCGGUAAUUC